rnacentral:rRNA from 1 species
GCGGCGGCGCCCACCUCUCCCUCGACGCCCUCGGCUCGCCCGUCACCUGCGCCGCGUCCGUGAACGGCCUGCGUCGCCGCGGCCGGCACGUCCAGGUCGGGCUGCUGCCCUCGGCCGACGGCACCACACCGGUGCCGAUGGCCCGCGCCGUCGCCCUGGAGCUCGAACUCGCCGGCAGCCACGGAAUGGCCGCGCACACCUACCCGCCGAUGCUGGAACUGGUCCGCGGCGGAGUGCUCCGCCCCGACCUGCUGGUGACGUCCACCAUCGGGCUGGAGGCCGUCCCGGCGGCCCUCGCGGCGAUGGGGACGGCGCCCGGCGCGGGCGUGACGGUCAUCGAGCCGUGACGGGGCGCCCUCGGUCGGCGUCGGGCCGCCCGCGGUGGGCGGCCCACUCGUGGUCGAGGACUGCCGUCAGCACCUCGUCCACCCACACGCCGUCCCGCCACGCGGCUCCGCGCCGCACCCCCUCCACCACGGAACCGGUCUUCUCGUACACCCGCCGGGCCCGGGGGUUGUCUGCGUAGACCUCCGAUUGGACGCGGUGCAGGCCGACCUGGUGGAAGCCGUGGCCGACGAUCAGCCUCGUCGCCUCGCUGCCCAGGCCCCGGCCGCGUCCCCGGGGGCCGAUGAGGGUCCGGAAGGUGCAGCUGCGGGCUGACGGGUCCCACUCGUACAGGACGACCUCGCCGACGAGUUCGCCGGUGGCGCGGUCGGUGACGGCGAGAUCGAGCCGGUCCGGGUCGCCGGUACGCACGCCGUACCAGGAGCGCAGCCGUUCCCGGGUGAGUUCUGUGGUCGGCUCGAAAAUGAAGCGGAUGACCUCGGGGUCGCCGGUGAUCUCCCACAUCGUGUCGGCGUCCUGCCGGGUGAACGGCCGGAGGACGGUUCUCGCGCCGGUCAGGACGGGUUUCACGGAGAAGUCCAUGGGCGCAACCGUGCCCCACGCGACCACGGGACAGCGAACGGAUCGCCGGCCCCGGGGCUACCGCUUCCGGUUGCUGGGGCGGGACGCCACCCAGGCCCGGACCGUGUCCGGGUACCAGUAGGGCUUCCCGCCCUCCACGUGGUCGGGUGGCGGCAGCAGCCCGUGCUUCCGGUACGACCGGACGGUGUCCGGCUGUACCCGGAUGUGAGCAGCGAUGUCCUUGUAGGACCAGAGCCUUCGGUCGGUCACUCGUUGCACCUCCCUGCGCGCACCUCGGCGGCGGCCGGGGACGGCCGCCGGGGGGAGCCGGAUGCCGCGCCGGUGAUCUCCAAGCCUGUGCCGGGUGAACGACGUCGGGUGCGGGGCGGUCAGGGCCCGUUCCGGGGUGUGACGAAAGUCCCGCCUCCGCGUGACAUGUGUGACAGGAGGAGCGUCUUUGUGACACGAGUGCUGCAAUCGCGUACGCCGGAGUUCAGGCGUGGCGCGUUGACUUCCGCUGUGCGGUGUGGGACGCGACGGCGGACGGCUGACUCUCGGGCCAUGUCGUCCGAAUGUCCGGACAAAACAUUGACAGGCCGCACCCGCGGGGCUAGAAACCGGGGGAGACGCGACGGCGCGCAGUGAACGACGGGCACCGAAGGGGGAACGCGAUGGCGCACGACCCGAUCGCCGGGUGCCCGGAGUCCGCGACCGCCGACGCCGGUCCCCCCACCGAACGCCUCCGGCGCGGGGCGGCCGCCUCGCCCUGGCAGGAGCGAGGCGCGAGCGCCGACUCCCCGCUCGCAUCGGCCCGCGCCGGAGGUUCCCGCGUCCCGCAGGGGCGCCGGCCGCCGACACUGCCCCACGUGUCUACGCGGACACCCAAACCGCAGACACAGUGUCGGGCCCGUCCGGAGCGCCCGGCUGCUGGGAUGGACCCAUGGCAGUGACCGCGACCCGAACGCCCCGGACCGCGACCCGAACGCCCCGGACCGCGACCCGAUGGCCGCGGACGGCGCCCCGAUCGUCGCCGGUCACCGCCCGUGAGCUGGACCAACGGCACGUCUCGACCCGUCGCCGCCAUCUGUGAAGGAGUUCUCGGUCAUGACGAACAUCGUCAACCACUGGAUCGGCGGCAAGACCGCCGAAGGCGCCUCGGGCACGUACGGGCCGGUGACGAACCCGGCGACCGGCGCCGUCACCACCAAGGUCGCCUUCGCCUCGGUCGAAGAGGUGGACGCCGCGGUCGCCGCCGCCAAGGAGGCGUACCUGACCUGGGGUCAGUCCUCGCUGGCCCAGCGCACCUCGAUCCUCUUCAAGUUCCGGGCGCUGCUGGACGCCCACCGCGACGAGAUCGCCGAGCUGAUCACCGCCGAGCACGGCAAGGUGCACUCCGACGCGCUCGGCGAGGUCGCGCGCGGCCUGGAGAUCGUCGACCUGGCCUGCGGCAUCAGCGUGCAGCUGAAGGGGGAGCUGUCGACGCAGGUCGCCACCCGCGUCGACGUGUCCUCGAUCCGGCAGCCGCUCGGCGUCGUCGCCGGCAUCACCCCGUUCAACUUCCCGGCGAUGGUGCCGAUGUGGAUGUUCCCCAUCGCCAUCGCCUGCGGCAACACCUUCGUGCUCAAGCCGAGCGAGAAGGACCCGUCGGCCGCGAACAGGAUCGCCGAGUUGCUCGCCGAGGCCGGUCUGCCGGACGGCGUCUUCAACGUCGUGCACGGUGACAAGGUGGCCGUGGACCGGCUUCUGGAGCACCCGGACGUCAAGGCGGUCUCCUUCGUCGGCUCGACCCCGAUCGCCCGCUACAUCCACACCACCGCCUCGGCGAACGGCAAGCGCGUCCAGGCCCUCGGUGGCGCCAAGAACCACAUGCUGGUGCUGCCCGACGCCGACCUCGACGCGGCGGCCGACGCGGCCGUCUCCGCGGCGUACGGCUCGGCCGGCGAGCGCUGCAUGGCGAUCUCCGCGGUCGUGGCGGUCGGCGCGGUCGGCGACGAGCUGGUCGAGAAGAUCCGCGAACGCGCCGAGAAGAUCAGGAUCGGCCCGGGCGACGACCCGGCGUCCGAGAUGGGCCCCCUCAUCACCGAGGCGCACCGAGACAAGGUGGCGUCCUACGUCGAGGGCGCGGCGGCCGAGGGCUGCGAGGUCGUCCUGGACGGCACCGGCCACACGGUCGACGGCCACGAGGACGGCCACUGGAUCGGCAUCUCGCUGCUGGACAAGGUGCCGACCACGGCGAGGGCC